rnacentral:rRNA from 1 species
UACGAAGGGGGCUAGCGUUGCUCGGAUUGACUGGGCGUAAAGGGCGCGUAGGCGGUUCGUACAGUCAGACGUGAAAUUCCUGGGCUCAACCUGGGGGCUGCGUUUGAUACGUGCGGACUUGAGUGCGGAAGAGGGUCGUGGAAUUCCCAGUGUAGAGGUGAAAUUCGUAGAUAUUGGGAAGAACACCGGUGGCGAAGGCGGGUCUCUGGGCCGGAACUGACGCUGAGGAGCGAAAGCGUGGGGAGCGAACAGG